rnacentral:rRNA from 1 species
UACGGAGGGUGCAAGCGUUAUCCGGAUUUACUGGGUUUAAAGGGUGCGUAGGUGGGUCUGUAAGUCAGUGGUGAAAUCUUCAAGCUUAACUUGGAAACUGCCAUUGAUACUAUAGGUCUUGAAUUAUCUGGAGGUGAGCGGAAUAUGUCAUGUAGCGGUGAAAUGCUUAGAUAUGACAUAGAACACCAAUUGCGAAGGCAGCUCACUACGGAUGUAUUGACACUGAGGCACGAAAGCGUGGGGAUCAAACA